AUUCUGGGUCCCACUAUGGGAGAAAAAUUGUUAUUUGUCUUCUUCCUGUCCACAUAGCUUUGACCUAAUGCUAUUUCCUCCUUCAAAAGUCUGCUUUUGGGGGCUACAUACUGAGAGCCUUUACAGGUCACCAUGGCUAAGAUUUUCAAAGGUCUGUACUGAUUUAGCAGGCAUCCAUUCACCAUUACUAGUUUCGGUUGAGUUCAAAUUAGAUUUAUUAUUUGAAAUAGAAAAAGGAUGGAUAGGUUCAGGCCAGUUUAACUGUUAUUAGCAGUUGAAAUAAAAAUUUGUGGGGAUUUUAAAAUGAUGUCCUUAAUUUUCUUGUUACUUACAUUAUACUAGAUAAAAAAGAUUUUGAAGAAUAAUUUUUUCCACAUGCAGAAUUAUGAAAAAUGUAAGGGGGUGAUUUAUGUCACUAACUCUAAGUGAAUUUUCCUAAACUGGAGAAGGAGGCAGAAUAUUUCUGUGAAGGUUACCCCUGAGGAAUUCAAAAGGUGGUUCUAAUAAACAGCCUUGGGCUGGGCCUGGACAGUUGACUCAGCAGCUGAAGUCACUUGCUGCUUUUGCAGAGGGUCUUGGUUUACCCUUCAUAUGGAAGCUAACAGCUGUCUGAAAUCCAACUUCUGGGCACCUGAUAUCUGAUGCCCCCUUCUGGCCUCUGAAGGCACAAGGCACACAGGUAGUGCACACACUACACAUACAUGUAGACAAAACACUCAGACAUAAAAUAAUAAAUAGUAAAAGCCCAUGGGCUCUGUCAAACUUGAGCGAUCUUGUGAACUAGUCAUGUAACCUUGCCAACCUCGCUUUCUUCUUCUGCUAGGGCUAGUAGCAGCAGCAAUGUUUCACCGAAUGUUGAGAGAUAAGAAUCUAUUGCAAAGCAAGAGAUUGAUAUAUAGUAGGCAGGUCAUACUUUUGAAUUCUGCUACUUUGUUGGGGUUCAGUACUAUUUAGCUAUGUUAAGGAGGGUCUCAAUAGGGUACGAAGCUCCUGCAAUUGGUUAACCAGAACAACACACCUAUGUAAGAGCCGUGUGUACUAUAAUAUUCAACUAAUUAGAUAUAAUGGUAUGCCUCAGACUUGCUAGUUGUUGAGGUAUAGAUUAAACAUCUUAAAUGUUUUCAGUUUGUUAUCAGUAGUGUAUAAUGAAACAUGACUUAAAAACAUUGCUUUAAAAUGAAAACUUGACAAAGAAACACGGAAGUUGUGUCUUGCAGUUAAAUGAGCUUGCUUAGGAAACACAAUACACUCUGGAAGAAACUGUUCCCAAAGACCUCAGGAGAGCUGUACGAAUAUCAACCCGAGUUCCGUGUUUAAAAAGCUACUGAAGCUAGUUAAAAUUUCUGCACCUCAAAUCCCCACAUUUUAAGAAUUUGGAUCUUGGAAGGAGUCCAACGUUCUCCAUUCCCAGGAUACAGCCAAUGGUUGGAAGGGAUGACGCCGCUAGCGACUCUAGGUCAAUGGGUGGGGGUUGGGGGACGGGCACACUCGAGUUCUCCGGGACCUUGUUUUGUUCGGCAGGGUGGCGAGAGUGGUUCUUCCAUUAGCAGCGUUUUUGCUAAGACAACCGACCGCCGUGCCUUUAGCCGCCUGUCCAGAGCCACUGGGGACACAUAUUCGGGAAACUGAGUCACACAAGCUCAGCGGUGCAGAUCAGAGCCUCUGUUACACGCAGGCGCAACUAACCCGGCUCCCGAGGGUCUCUGGGUCCCGCCUUCCUCGCGCGGCUCAACCACGUGCUGGGGGGCGGAGCUCCACUCGGCCGCAGGCCAGUGAGCGGAAGUGACGUCGGCAAAGAGCCAUUUCCGGCAGGCCGAAACUAGGAAGAAACUUGAAGCUGCUGAGGCACGGGUCGUAGUCCCCGCCACUGUGCCCCGUGGCCCGCGCCGCGCGGAGCUGUGGAGGCCUGGCCAUGGGGUGGCGCCGGGCUCGUGCGGCGUAGACGUACGGCCUCCCGCGGGCUCCACUGACGGGCCGGGCGCUCGCGGGCGGCAGGCGGCGUGGGAGCCGCGGCCACUGCGGGCCUGGGCUCCGGCAUCAUGAACAUCGACGUUGAGUUCCACAUCCGGCACAAUUAUCCUUGGAGCAAGUUGCCAACUAACGUGAAACAGAGUCUUGGAAAUUCACAACGAGAAUAUGAAAAACAGGUUGUUUUGUACAGUAUCCGCAAUCAGUUGCGCUACAGAAAUAACCUAGUUAAGCAUGUCAAGAAAGAUGAGCGCAAAUACUAUGAGGAACUGCUGAAGUAUAGCCGUGAUCAUCUCAUGCUGUACCCUUACCACUUAUCCGACAUCAUGGUGAAGGGCCUGAGGAUAACACCAUUCUCAUACUAUACUGGGAUCAUGGAGGACAUUAUGAACAGUGAGAAAAGUUACGAUUCAUUGCCUAAUUUUACUGCUGCUGACUGUCUGCGGCUUCUUGGCAUAGGAAGAAACCAGUACAUUGACCUGAUGAAUCAGUGUAGAUCUUCAAAAAAAUUCUUCAGAAGGAAAACUGCCCAUGAUCUUCUACCAAUGAAGCCAGUAGAAAUUGCCAUCGAGGCGUGGUGGGUGGUGCAGGCUGGAUAUAUCACAGAAGAUGACAUCAAGAUAUGCACUUUUCCUGAGAAAAGCGCUAUUGAUAAGAUCAUCGACUCAGGUCCUCAGCUCUCUGGAUCACUAGAUUACAAUGUAGUACACAGUUUGUAUAACAAAGGCUUUAUUUAUCUGGAUGUGCCCAUAUCAGAUGACAGUUGUAUAGCAGUUCCUCCUCUGGAAGGUUUUGUAAUGAAUCGGGUACAAGGUGAUUAUUUCGAAACCCUACUCUAUAAAAUAUUUGUGUCAAUAGAUGAGCACACUAAUGUUGCAGAGCUUGCUAAUGUCCUUGAGAUAGACUUAUCGCUGGUAAAGAAUGCUGUUUCAAUGUAUUGCCGAUUGGGCUUUGCCCAUAAGAAGGGACAAGUAAUAAACUUGGACCAACUUCAUUCAUCAUGGAAGAACGUUCCAUCUGUGAACAGAUUAAAGAGCACGUUAGACCCACAAAAGAUGCUCUUAUCAUGGGAUGGUGGGGAAAGUAGGAGUCCUGUGCAAGAAGCCUCUUCUGCUACUGACACAGAUACAAAUAGUCAAGAGGAUCCAGCUGACACGGCCAGCGUCAGCAGUUUGAGUCUGUCCACUGGGCACACAAAGCGAAUUGCAUUCCUAUUUGACUCAACUCUUACUGCAUUCUUAAUGAUGGGAAACCUUUCACCAAACUUGAAAAGCCAUGCAGUCACCAUGUUUGAAGUGGGCAAACUCUCAGAUGAGUCUCUGGACAGCUUCCUUAUAGAACUAGAGAAGGUUCAGAGCACUGGUGAAGGAGAAGCACAGAGAUACUUUGACCAUGCACUUACUCUGAGGAACACUAUUCUCUUUCUUCGUCAUAAUAAAGAUCUGGUAGCUCAGACCUCUCAGCCAGACCAGUCCAACUAUGGUUUUCCCCUGGAUCUCUUACGCUGCGAAAGCCUUCUUGGUUUGGACCCAGCAACUUGUAGCAGAGUUCUAAACAAAAACUACACACUGCUUGUGUCUAUGGCUCCUCUUACCAAUGAAAUCCGUCCAGUCAGCAGCUGCACUCCUCAGCAUAUUGGACCAGCUAUUCCAGAAGUCAGUUCUGUCUGGUUUAAAUUGUAUAUUUACCAUAUCACUGGGCAAGGACCACCAUCUCUCUUAUUGUCCAAAGGCACAAGACUUCGGAAACUGCCAGAUAUAUUCCAGGGUUAUGAUCGGUUACUCAUAACCUCUUGGGGCCAUGAUCCUGGGGUCGUUCCUACAUCAAAUGUGCUCACGAUGCUGAACGAUGCUCUAACACAUUCUGCAGUGCUAAUUCAGGGACAUGGUUUGCAUGGGGUAGGAGAGACUGUCCAUAUACCCUUUCCAUUUGAUGAAGCAGAGCUCCAAGGAGAGUUUACCCGGGCCAGCAUGGGUGUUCAUAAAGCAUUGCAGAUUCUGAGGAGCAAAGUGGACUUGCAGCAUUUCUGUGGCUAUGUCACCAUGUUGAAUGCUUCUAGCCAGCUUGCAAGUAGAAAGCUCAGUGACGCUUCUGAUGAGAGAGGCGAGCCUGAUUUGGCUUCUAGUUCAGAUGUAAAUGGCAGUACAGAGUCGUUUGAAAUGGUCAUUGAGGAAGCCAGUACAGACUUGUCUACAAAGCAAAACUCUGGGGCCACAGCAGAAGCAGAUUGGGUUCCUCUUGAGCUGUGCUUUGGAAUUCCUUUGUUCAGUUCUGAAUUAAACCGGAAAGUUUGUCAGAAAAUAGCUACACAUGGCCUGUGCAGUAAAGAGAGACAUGACAGGCAGGUUUGACCUUGUGGCAAGCAGCUCCAACCCUUUGGAAGGGAGUGGCCAACUGUGGAGGGGAGAUGCCCGCAAUUCUGUCUUUUAAACUUAGGAAAACAAAGUUGGACAGCAAAUAACUUAAAUUAUUUGGCCUAGUGAAGCUUGUAUAGUAAAGAGUAUUCAACGGAUAAUCUCCACAGCCGUUCUCUGGACCUUCAAAGUCUCUUACAUUCCAGUAGAAAACUCUCUCUGCAAGUCCUUAACUUUGUCCAUUCAUUCCAGGAAGGUGCUGCAACUCUGGAUUUUCACGCGGAGCCUGGCUUCUC